AUUGAACGCUGGCGGCAGGCCUAACACAUGCAAGUCGAGCGGAUGAAGGGAGCUUGCUCCUGGAUUCAGCGUCGGACGGGUGUGUAAAGCCUAGGAAUCUGCCUGCUAGUGGGGGAUAACGUCCGGAAACGGGCGCUGAUACCGCAUCCGUCCUGCGGGUGUAAGUGGGGGAUCUUCGGACAUCACCCUAUCCGCUGAGCCUAGGUGGGCUUAGCUAGUUGGUGGGGGAAAGGGCUACCAAGGCGACGCACCGCGACUGGUCUGAGGGGAUGAUCAGGCACACUGGAACGGAGACACGGUCCAGACUCCUACGGGAGGCGGCAGUGGGGAAUAUUGGACAAUGGGCGAAAGCCUGAUGCAGCCAUGCCGGGUGUGUGAGGAAGGUCUUCGGAUUGUAAAGCACGUUAAGUGGGGAGGAAGGGCAGUAAGUUGAUACCUUGCUGUUGUGACGGUACCAACAGAAUAAGCACCGGCUAACUUCGUG
rnacentral:rRNA from 1 species